GACGAACGCUGGCGGCGUGCUUAACACAUGCAAGUCGAACGGAAAGGCCCUGCUUUUGUGGGGUGCUCGAGUGGCGAACGGGUGAGUAACACGUGAGUAACCUGCCCUUGACUUUGGGAUAACUUCAGGAAACUGGGGCUAAUACCGGAUAGGAGCUCCUGCUGCAUGGUGGGGGUUGGAAAGUUUCGGCGGUUGGGGAUGGACUCGCGGCUUAUCAGCUUGUUGGUGGGGUAGUGGCUUACCAAGGCUUUGACGGGUAGCCGGCCUGAGAGGGUGACCGGCCACAUUGGGACUGAGAUACGGCCCAGACUCCUACGGGAGGCAGCAGUGGGGAAUAUUGCACAAUGGGCGGAAGCCUGAUGCAGCAACGCCGCGUGCGGGAUGACGGCCUUCGGGUUGUAAACCGCUUUCGCCUGUGACGAAGCGUGAGUGACGGUAAUGGGUAAAGAAGCACCGGCUAACUACGUGCCAGCAGCCGCGGUGAUACGUAGGGUGCGAGCGUUGUCCGGAUUUAUUGGGCGUAAAGGGCUCGUAGGUGGUUGAUCGCGUCGGAAGUGUAAUCUUGGGGCUUAACCCUGAGCGUGCUUUCGAUACGGGUUGACUUGAGGAAGGUAGGGGAGAAUGGAAUUCCUGGUGGAGCGGUGGAAUGCGCAGAUAUCAGGAGGAACACCAGUGGCGAAGGCGGUUCUCUGGGCCUUUCCUGACGCUGAGGAGCGAAAGCGUGGGGAGCGAACAGGCUUAGAUACCCUGGUAGUCCACGCUGUAAACGGUGGGUACUAGGUGUGGGGUCCAUUCCACGGGUUCCGUGCCGUAGCUAACGCUUUAAGUAUCCCGCCUGGGGAGUACGGCCGCAAGGCUAAAACUCAAAGGAAUUGACGGGGCCCCGCACAAGCGGCGGAGCAUGCGGAUUAAUUCGAUGCAACGCGUAGAACCUUACCUGGGUUUGACAUGGAUCGGGAGCGCUCAGAGAUGGGUGUGCCUCUUUUGGGGUCGGUUCACAGGUGGUGCAUGGCUGUCGUCAGCUCGUGUCGUGAGAUGUUGGGUUAAGUCCCGCAACGAGCGCAACCCUUGUUCACUGUUGCCAGCACGUUAUGGUGGGGACUCAGUGGAGACCGCCGGGGUCAACUCGGAGGAAGGUGGGGAUGACGUCAAGUCAUCAUGCCCCUUAUGUCCAGGGCUUCACGCAUGCUACAAUGGCUGGUACAGAGAGUGGCGAGCCUGUGAGGGUGAGCGAAUCUCGGAAAGCCGGUCUCAGUUCGGAUUGGGGUCUGCAACUCGACCUCAUGAAGUCGGAGUCGCUAGUAAUCGCAGAUCAGCAACGCUGUGGUGAAUACGUUCCCGGG
rnacentral:rRNA from 1 species